rnacentral:piRNA from 1 species
UUCUGCAUCAGCAACCAUUGGCCUAGUUG